AGCAGCCGCGGUAAUUCCAGCUCCAAUAGCGUAUAUUAAAGUUGCUGCAGUUAAAAAGCUCGUAGUUGAAUUUCGGGACCAUCAUGUCGGUCGUGCCUCGGUACGUACUGGCAUUGUUGGUUUCUCCCUUCUGACGAACCAUGAUGUCAUUUAUUUGGUGUUGUGGGGAAUCAGGACUGUUACUUUGAAAAAAUUAGAGUGUUUAAAGCAGGCUCACGCUUGAAUACAUUAGCAUGGAAUAAUGAAAUAGGACGUUUGAUUCUAUUUUGUUGGUUUCUAGGAUCGACGUAAUGAUUAAUAGGGAUAGUUGGGGGCAUUAAUAUUCAAUUGUCAGAGGUGAAAUUCUUGGAUUUAUUGAAGACUAACUACUGCGAAAGCAUUUGCCAAGGAUGUUUUCAUUAAUCAAGAACGAAAGUUAGGGGAUCGAAGACGAUCAGAUACCGUCGUAGUCUUAACCAUAAACUAUGCCGACUAGGGAUCGGAUGAUGUUAAUUUUUAAUGA
rnacentral:rRNA from 1 species